UACAGGGGGUGCAAACGUUGCUCGGAAUCAUUGGGCGUAAAGCGCACGUAGGCGGUUCGUUAUGUCGGAUGUGAAAGCCCUUGGCUUAACCGAGGAAGUGCAUCCGAAACUGGCGAGCUAGAGUACGAAAGAGGAUCGCGGAAUUCCCGGUGUAGAGGUGAAAUUCGUAGAUAUCGGGAGGAACACCAGUGGCGAAGGCGACUACCUGGCCUGUUCUUGACGCUGAGGCGCGAAAGCUAGGGGAGCAAACGGG
rnacentral:rRNA from 1 species